rnacentral:piRNA from 1 species
UUCACAUGUUGCUCUGUGUCUUAAUUUGAUC